CUCUGUUUGAAUCCCUCAAUUCAAUUAUUUCGAAACAUUUCCAAAUUUCGCGCCAUCGGAAAUACGAAAUUCAAAGCAAUCACUGCUCGUUUAAACGAUUCCCAAACAAUAACGACAACUGGAGAAUCGACAACAGCAGCUUAAUGAAUCUCUCCGUUACGCGCUUCACUCUCGGACCUCGGAAUACCUGGUUUGGAUGAAUCGUACUUACCAAGGGGGAUCGGGGUUCCUGAGUCACGUCGCUGGUUCUGAUGCAGCGUCCUUCACCCCUGCACAAAUGGUAAUCUGAUUCUAUUACGGGGUUUUGUUUUUCUAAGACAUGCGAUUUGUUGCUGUUUGUUUUUUUUUCCCCCUUCCACAACCAAUUUCAUGUAGAGAACAGAAGCACUGGAUCUCUCUUUAGCCGCAUUCUCCAUUGCCCUUCCUUACCUUGGAAGAUUUCUCAAGAUUCUGGACUUGGCGGGAUGCUUCCAAAUGGGAUUCGUUCUCUUCUGGUUCAACCUGUGUUUCAUGCUUUCAUUCCAAGUGGCAAGCAAGUGAAAAAAGUCAAAGGGUUUUUCUGCUGGCUUCAAGUAUGGGUGGAAUAAAGCUGAAAGGGUGGCUUGCUGGAGGAGUAUGGAUCCUACUGACAGUGUUGGUGCCACCAGACAAACCUGACAUUGAUUUAGCACAACUGAACAAAUUGACCACAGAAAUUGUGUUGACAUUUGAGUCUAAUAUGUGGGAGGAAUAGGAGAGGACAUUGAAUUGCAUCAAUGUCUCACCCUGGGCUCACCAUGCUGGCCUUCCCACAGAAUGUUGAUAACGCUGUCACUCUAUCUGGUUUAAUUCGAGGUACGUAAACCACACUUUUCAUCCUAAAUGUUGUUGCCUAAUAAGAAAGACCAAAGUGGAGCCAUAACUAGUGAUGCUUAAUGAUAAAACGUUAGCGAUAUGUCCUUUCUUUGUUUGCAUUUGCAUAGACAUAGAACAUGUUUCACAUUGUCAUACACUGAAGAGUGAAGAUGGUGAAAUCAAUGACGACAACUGUUGCUUUUGACUGCAGAAAUUUCAUAGUCUCCUCAUGUUUGAAAACAUUGACUAUUGUGCCUGGUAGAGGAGAGGGAUUUGUUUACCUUACCUGGGAUAUAGACCCUAAUACCAUUGUGAGAUCAUUUAUUCUGGGUAUUUCCAUAGGCUCCUCCAUUCCACAUACCCUAUUAGGAGGGGGGGGGGGGACUUCUAUGGAUACAACUCAUGCUGUCGCAACUAAGCAGAGUAAAGUGUUGGUUAAAGGAAGUAUUGAUAAAUAACAAUGAUUCAAUGAACCUUCUCAAUAUCAUGUCCUACGAGAUGAACAUCCACGACCCCAGCCACUUCUGUUCCUCUGGCUUUGGUUAUUGCAACUACUGCUGCUUUUCCUAUCUCCUUUGCUGCUCCAUUUAUAACUACCUACGCGCGUAGUCAUUAAGAGUAAACUUGGUUACGUGUGCUUUUUUUUUUCCCCCUACAUUUUUCCUUUUCAAUUGUUUGUGGUUGAAUGUAACAGAGAAUUAGAUUGGAAGGGGUUACCAUGAUGUUCCGUUGAGAGGGCUGAAUUGAGCAUGAAUAGAAGGCCUCCAUUUUGCUUUGACAUUUUGGGAGACUUAAUCCAUUGUGGGAUGAAAGUUGCAGUUUAAAGCUGCCAUGGUUAAUCAAAUCUCCGAUAGCCUUUCACGGCUGAGCUGGGUCUUUUGUUGGUGUCAAGUUGAAAAGCUUCUUUGUCGAAGCAUAUGCUACGCUUAGAUUCUUGGAUAAGGUCCCUUUUUUUGGGGGAAAGGUCAUGUGUCAUAUGAUAGACCUUGUUUGGCCUAACACUGACGCGUAACGUGAGCAAGGUGAUGCCUUAUGGAUAUGCAUAGCAUGC